rnacentral:rRNA from 1 species
AUUCGAUUAGAGUUUGAUCCUGGCUCAGAACGUACGCUGGCGGCACGCCUAACACAUGCAAGUCGAACGAAGUAGCAAUACUUAGUGGCAGACGGGUGAGUAACAUGUAGGUAUCUGCCCUUUGGCCUGGAAUAACACGAGGAAACUUGUGCUAAUACCGGAUAAGUCUUUACGGAGAAAGCUUUAUGCACCAUUGGAUGAGCCUGCACUUGAUUAGUUUGUUGGUGGGGUAAUGGCCUACCAAGACUGUGAUCAAUAGCUGAUUUGAGAGGAUGAUCAGCCACAUUGGGACUGAGACACGGCCCAAACUCCUACGGGAGGCAGCAGUGGGGAAUCUUGCACAAUGGAGGAAACUCUGAUGCAGCGAUGCCGCGUGAGUGAAGAAGGCCCUUGGGUUGUAAAGCUCUUUCGUCGGGGAAGAAAAUGACUGUACCCGAAUAAGAAGGUCCGGCUAACUUCGUGCCAGCAGCCGCGGUAAUACGAAGGGACCUAGCGUAGUUCGGAAUUACUGGGCUUAAAGAGUUCGUAGGUGGUUGAAAAAGUUAGUGGUGAAAUCCCAGAGCUUAACUCUGGAACUGCCAUUAAAACUUUUCAGCUAGAGUAUGAUAGAGGAAAGCAGAAUUUCUAGUGUAGAGGUGAAAUUCGUAGAUAUUAGAAAGAAUACCAAUUGCGAAGGCAGCUUUCUGGAUCAUUACUGACACUGAGGAACGAAAGCAUGGGUAGCGAAGAGGAUUAGAUACCCUCGUAGUCCAUGCCGUAAACGAUGUGUGUUAGACGUUGGAAAUUUAUUUUCAGUGUCGCAGGGAAACCGAUAAACACACCGCCUGGGGAGUACGACCGCAAGGUUAAAACUCAAAUGAAUUGACGGGGACCCGCACAAGUAGUGGAGCAUGUGGUUUAAUUCGAAGAUACGCGCAGAACCUUACCAACACUUGACAUGUUCGUCGCGACUUUAAGAGAUUAAAGUUUUCGGUUCGGCCGGACGAAACACAGGUGCUGCAUGGCUGUCGUCAGCUCGUGUCGUGAGAUGUUGGGUUAAGUCCCGCAACGAGCGCAACCCUCACUUUUAGUUGCCAUCAUUAAGUUGGGCACUCUGAAAGAACUGCCAGUGAUAAGCUGGAGGAAGGUGGGGAUGACGUCAAGUCCUCAUGGCCCUUACGUGUUGGGCUACACACGUGCUACAAUGGUAUCUACAACAGGAAGCAAGACUGCGAAGUUAAGCAAAUCCCUAAAAGAUACCUCAGUUCGGAUUGCACUCUGCAACUCGAGUGCAUGAAGCUGGAAUUACUAGUAAUCGUGGAUCAGCGUGCCACGGUGAAUGCGUUCCCGGGUCUUGUACACACCGCCCGUCACACCAUGGGAGUUGGUUCUACCUUAAGGCAAGGUUUCAAACCCUUGACCACGGUAUAGUCAGCGACUGGGGUGAAGUCGUAACAAGGUAACCA